rnacentral:rRNA from 1 species
GACAGAGGAUGCAAGCGUUAUCCGGAAUGAUUGGGCGUAAAGCGUCUGUAGGUGGCUUUUUAAGUCCGCCGUCAAAUCCCAGGGCUCAACCCUGGGAUGCGGGUGGAUACUGCCGGGCUCGAGUCCGGAAGAGGCGAGUGGAAUUCCCGGUGUAGCGGUGAAAUGCGCAGAUAAUCGGGAGGAACACCAGUGGCGAAGGCGACUUCCUGGCCUGUUCUUGACGCUGAGGCGGCGAAAGCUAGGGGAGCAAACGGGG